rnacentral:lncRNA from 1 species
AUGAAUUCUGCACAGUUUUUAUACAUACAAAUAAAUACAAAUUUUUUUUUUUUUUUUGAGAGGCACAGAGGUAACAGUGCUGCUAUUUGCUGGCUCACAGCUCAAAUGCCUGCAAUGCUUGGGGCUGAGUCAGAAGCCAGGAACUCAAUUCAGGUCUGCAUCACAGGAAGCUGGAAUCCGGAGCUGGAGCCAGGACGCUUUUCCAGGCACUCUGAUGUGGGAUAUGGGCAUUAUUAACCAGCAUCUCAACUGCCAGGCGAAUACCUGCCUUUCCCACCCCGUACUUGGACUGUCACCCACACACUGUCAGUCAUGUCAAGAUUCUCUGCUCAGUUCCUCAAGAGGAGCACUGCACACUAUUCCUGCUUUCAAAGGAGCGCCAACAAACUUGGAGAACCGCCUGUGUUUUGUAAAAAGAUUUGUGUAAAAGGCAGAGCAUCAGAGAAACAGAUUAGAGUGAGUGAGAGAGAGAGAGAGAGAGAGAGAGAAUCAUCUGCUGAUUCACUCCCCUAAUGGCUGCAAAGGCUGGUGUCAGGCCAGGCCAAAGCCAUGAGUCCACAACUCCAUGUGGGUUUUCCAGGUUGGUGGUAGGGACCCAAGCACUUGGGCCAUCUUCCACUGCCUUCCCAGGUACGUCACAGAGUUGGAUUAGAAGCAGGAGCAGCUAGAACUCAGCCCUCCACCCCAUGAUGCCAACGUACAAGCAGUACCUUUACCUGCUGUGCCACAACACUGGCCCUGCUUGUUAUUAAUCCCUAAAUUGUGUCCAUUGAAUUUGAAGGGCUGAACACUGAGCUGAUACUCUGUGAUCACUUCCCUGUGCUGCAUAUUUCAUAUAUAGUUUUCUCUACAUUAUUUCUUUCCUGUAUAUCUGCCAUUUGCUGUUCUAAUUUUCAUAAUAGCAUAUCUAUAUAGUUAAUAGGAAUGCUAUGAGAUAAGAUCUCAAUUUUAGGAAAGAAAUAUGAAGGUAUUUUUGAGGUCGCACAAACUAUACUAAUAUAAAAACAACAAAUAAGCAAAAACCAUUUUGCUUGUCAACACAUUUCAUUCACUCUGAAAAUACUUAUUAACUAUUAAAUGUGACAUACUGUUGUAGAUAUUAAAAAGACUGAGUCUUCUUAUACUCUGUCAUGUUAUCUGUCCCCAUUAUACAAACAGAUUCUCUGAGUGUUAAGAGAGUGUGUGACUGGCCCAAGGUUCCAGAGCUAAGGAAAUGCAGACUUGAGUGUGAACCCCU